GACAGAGGCCUCGAGCGUUAGGCGGAAUCACUGGGCUUAAAGCGUGUGUAGGCGGAUCGUUAAGUGCGUUGUGAAAUCCCACGGCCUAACUGUGGAACGGCUGGGCAUACUGGCGGUCUUGAGCCAUCUAGGGGCGACUGGAACAAACGGUGGAGCGGUGAAAUGCGUAGAUAUCGUUUGGAACGCCAAUGGUGAAAACAGGUCGCUGGGGAUGUGCUGACGCUGAGACACGAAAGCCAGGGGAGCAAGCGGG
rnacentral:rRNA from 1 species